rnacentral:misc_RNA from 1 species
UCUCACAUAUUCAAUUACAAUUUUCGUAAAAUGGAUUCUAUCGCCUUGCUAGAUAGAUGCCCUGAAGACGAUGAAGUCAAUUAUAGUGAAAAUAGGAUAAGAAAAUUAAGUGCUAGUAGCGAUAGUGUUGUGGUUAAAGAAUGUUACCCUUGUUUGGCACAUUUUCAAUAUAUUUUAAGUGUUUUGGGUAUAUUUACUGUAGUGGUGAUUAUGAUGGUGUUUUUAUUUAAGAUGUUUACUCCAUCAGUUACUGAUUAACAGAACCUAUUGGCAUUAAUAAGGAAGCUUGGACCAAGACUUAAUAAGUUCAGAAAAUAUUUUAAGAAGCAAACAAGAAAAGGAGAAACAAAAUUUUCAUAUGGAACUAAAAAGGAAAUUAAAGGAAAAGGAAGAUGUGCAAAGGCUUAAUUCGAUUUUAACUACAACAACAAAUAAAUGGCCCAACUUCGACGAUGUUGAAGAAAACACUGUGCCGACCUACACGGAAGCUUUUAAAAAAGAUGAAAAAUUUAGUGAACGAUUUCAAUAUCAAAAAAAUUUUGCAUAUCAUAAGGUUACAGGCAAACCGGCGGCACAUCUAAAGAAAACCCCGACAGCUUACAUCGCAGUUUCUGCAAUAUCUGCGAAAUCAUCGGAGCCUAAAGAGGAUUUCCUAUUGGAAACAGAGUUGCAUCAGCUCAAGCCGUGGAAAAAUAAACUUUCGUCCCAAAAAGUCUAAGCGUAUACAGGUGAUUUCUUAGAAUAUUGUAGCUUAUAAAAUACAGAGGUUUGUUGUAAAUAUUAAAAUAGUUUUUCAUCUAUUACUUCACUACAGAGCGUUUCUGGAUAUCAUAUCAAUAUUGCUAAAAGCAAAUAAUUUUUUUUUAAGUUUGGGAAUAUUAUUUUUACUCGUAUGUUUAAUCAUUAAUCGUUUAACUUAAUGUUACAAUAAUAUUGUCUCUUAUUUAAAAUUCUAAUUUAAGAAAAUAUAGCUAAAAGUGUAUAUCACCGUUAAAUUUUUAGGAGGCCCUACUAGAGCUUCUUUAGUUUUAGGUCACACAUAUGUAUAAUUAUGUAAAAUAUUUAAGAAUGUAUAUUUUAUAAUACAUUUAGUAAUUAGUAAUUAAUAUCAAUUAAUAUCAUAAAACUAUAGAUUUUUCUAGAAUAAGAGUAUCUUAUAAUAUGUAAAUUUACUGUAAGUAAUGCGUUCAUUUUAUAGCAUUUCUAGGCAUGUAACUAUAAAAUAAGCAAGCUUGGCAUAUGCACAUUAUUGAUAAAUUAACACGUACAAACAGACUUAAAUUAUAUAUUAUUAUAAACUAGCUACAUUCCAAUAAAAACAUUUUAGUAUCAGUUUUGGGGGGUAUUUGAAUUUAAAGAUACGUUUUGCUAGAAGACAGCUGCCAGAAAUAAAGAAGAUAUCGUGAAUGUACGUGGACAACGCCGUCAAACAUGCUGGAAAGUAAAUAUUUCUGGGAAAUAGUUAUAUCAACAAGAUAAUAUGUACUUUUGCUAUACAUAUAGAGUCGGAAUACAUAAAAGUAGGUUUAAUAAAAUUUAUCUAGCAUGGAGACUCACUCUCCAGUUCAAAGAUUGCGGUUAACUUAAAAAAAAACCCUCAACUAAAGUCCUUCUCCUUAAAAUUUGAAGCAUGACAACUUGUAAAUUUCGGUAUUUUUUUAAAUUAAUUUCCUAUUAUUAUAAAUUAACCAUACCUCCAUGUAGUCACCGAUCGAGUUUAAAAAUCAUGGUAAUCAAAGGGUUUUAAAAGAGGAGGUUGUAAAGAAAAGUUGCUUAUUCAGUGAGCGAAGGAUGAUGUGUAAAUCAAUGUAAAUCCUUUUCUAUUGCUACAGUAAGGACUUUGUCUAGCCUGCAUUAUUCAAAUUAUAUUACUAGGAUGUAUAUUACAUUACUGAUUUUUAUCUAAGAAUAUAUUUUGAAGUUUACUGAAGAACAGCAUAAGAUUAAUUAAAACAGCAACUAUUUAUAGACUCAAUACAGUUCAUUAACUAAGCAAAGAUACGAGAAAGGUCUGAACAGUUUCCGACCUAAGGAAAAUUCAAAAAGUUUUUUCUUUAAAAUCAUUUCUCUAUAUAGUAUCAUUGUUAGUCUUUACACUUUUCCUGCUCCCAUCUCUUUAAGCCGUCCAUAUAGUGCUUCGUAAAAUAAUUGUUUAUAAGGUGGUUGCCUCCUCAUUUGGAAAAAAUCUCUUUUUUUGGAGCUAAAUCUAGUGAAUAAGGUGAAAAAAGAAGAAAUUCAAACCAUCAUUCAUAAAACAAAUAAGCUCAUUGUCUUCAUAAAACAGAUUUUUUUCCACAAAAAUGACAAUUUUUGGUUAAUUUCUGCUUUGAGCAGCUGUAGUGGUUUUUCUGGUUUAAAGAUCAUCGAUUAAUAUAACUACAUGACUAUCACAAAAAACAGUCGCCUCCACUUUCAACAAAUAGCAGCUCCUAGUUGGAAAAAGGGUUAGUUGGAACCAAUUCCUUCUUCACAAUCUGUGUUGACCGUAUUUUUGUUUUCGGUGUAUCCAAGUUUAGCAUACGAUUUUUAAUCAGCACCAAAACUCUGAUUUAUUACACCUAUACUGCUGCAACAGACCAACGAAAAUGUUGUUUUGAGGAGAUUUUUAGUCUAAUGUGAGCAAAUGCGGCACAAACACGUGGAUAGCAUCGUCAUGGUCCAUGUUCAUAACCUCUGCUAUUUCUCUCGCUUAAAAUCAACGUCAAUUUGGUGAAUUUUAUGAUUAUCGUCAGUGGCUGCACUAUCUGUGUUUUGAGCGUACAGCCAAGCUGGUACGGCUACGUUUAAAUUGAGUUGCCAAAAAUUUUACAUCUAGGAUCCAACUCAUUUUUCGUCGGCGUAAUCGUAUUUUUGUUCAAAGAAACAAAAUCAUAAAAGUACUCAAACCAUUGUUAAACAACAACUACUUUGAUUUUUUUUUAAGUUCCAUCAAAAGUUAUUGAGAUUCACUUCAACUUUACAAAUCAAUCAUCAACGGAUGUUAAUAGAGUAAUGCAGUAUACGAAAGCUAAUGUGGUCUACUUUUUUAAGAAAGUGGCAACAGCUACUUCCUUGUCCUUAAGCGACCAAUGCUGACAACUAGGUUAUCAAGGGCUAAAUCUGUUGACUUUCUUUGCAUUCAGAUCUCGCAAUAUAAGAGAGGUGCUCAUCAAUAAUCUGUUUUAUGUUUUUCAACAAAAAUGGUCUCGAUAAUUUUCACCCAUUAUUUGUAUGCCAGGCUGAUCCUAAUAGUUUUAUUAGACGAAGACAAAGGAUUUUUUUUCGUUAAGAAACCAUCCCAAUCCGUAAACCAUUAUGGGUCUAAGGUUGACCCUAUCUAGCCUUUCAUAAUAAUAAUAAUAAUAAUAAGCUUUAUUUUCAACAGGCUAGAAAUACCCAGUUACAGAAAAAUUAAUUAAAUAUAUAAAUGUACAAGUACGAAUGCAUGAACUAUAUUAGAUCCAUGCAACUAAACUAUACAAGAAUUGCUAAAUAAUAAAAUAAAAGGUGAGUUUGAGAAAAUAAAUAAUAAAAAAUCAACACUAAAUUAGAAUUAAGAAUUAAUUUAAAUCAAAAGAGCAGUAAAAAAUGAGUAAAUAAAUGUAUUCAAACUAAGUACUAAGUAACCUAGCCUCCCCCACCGACCAUACGCAGGUGACUCAAGUGCCAGAUUGUCAUGGUGAAUAUCACAAGAAUCGGCAAUAGUGUUAAAGUUUUGACACAUAAAGUGAAUAUGACUCUGGUUUAGAAUGUUGGACCUGGCUGUGUCAAAGUUAAAAGCUGAACAAAAACUAGAUCCUGGGCGUGGUAUAUGAAACCAAAUCCUUUGUAAAAGAGAUGGGCAGUCAAUUUUAUGGUUAAGUAAACUAAACAAGAGUUUCACCGAAUGCAUUUCACUUCUCUUCGCAAGUGACCGUUCAGUAUAUCUAGACAGCAGCAGGUUAUGGUCAAAACCCCUUGGAGGAUAGACUCCAUAAUCCUUAAAUGCCAAACAUUUAAGGAAUCGCCGUUGGACUGGUUCAAAUUGGUGAAUGUGCUGGUUGUAAAUGGGAGACUAAAUGAGGGAGCUGUAGUCCAGCCUGGAUCUAACAAAUGCAUAGUAGAGAGUUUUGGCAGUGGCAGUGUUCGAAAAAAGUAUGCAAAUUCUAAUAAUAAAGUCCAGCAUGCGAGUAGCUCUAGAUACAGUAUCUUCGAUGUGAGGAAUAAAAGAAAAUUCUUGGUCAAAGGUGACUCUAAGAUCCUUAAAGCAGGUAGGCAUUACUAGAAACUCUCCAUUGACUGAGUAAUUAAAGACAACUGAACUUUGGAUUCGAAAGUAGCUGGCCACAUUACACUUGGAAACAUUACAGUUAAGCCUGUUCAAAGUGCACCAAUGGUGUACAGUAUUGUUCUCUUGCAGUUGACCACAAUCUGCCAUAGAGUCAAUCCUAUGGAAAAGCUUUGAGUCAUCAGCAUAUGCUAACCGAGAGGGUGGAGAUCAAGUCAUUAGCGAAAACGUUAAAGAGAUGGGGGCCCAAGUUAGAGCCCUGAGGAACUGCAGAGAUGGGUGAAAAAUAAAACUAAAGAUUUCGAUCCCUGCAAACUGAGAGCGGUCAACUAAAUAGGAGUUAAGGAGCUUUAUCAAACGACCGGAGAAUCCAAACUGGCGUUCAAGCUUAUUUAAUAGGAUGAAGUGGUCAAUCUGGUUAAAAGCCUUUUGAAAGUUUGUGUAGAUAACAUCGAUUUGACCUCUAUCAUUAAGUGCUUCACACACAAACUCAGAGAAGAAUGCUAGGUUUGUAGUACAUGAUCCAUAGUCUCUCUAGUUUGUAGUACAUGGUCCAGUACAUCGACCAGAAACGAAGCCAUCUUGAUCGUUGGCCAGCAUGGACUUAACCUUGGAAAAAAUUAAUUUAUAAAGAGUCAACUCGAAUAACUUUGAGAAACUACAUAGAAUGGAUAUAGGGCGGUAAUUCUCUAUUGUUCCAGCAUCGCCCUUUUUAAGGAUAGGGCAAACUUUGGCUUGCUUCCAGAUAUUGGGAAAAAUACCUGUGAUCAUUUUUAGAUCUAAAGUAUGCUUUUUCUAUUUUUAUUGAUAAAAGUUCUAAAAACUCGAUGCCUGACUAUUUGAUGGACGUAUCCUACUCUAGUUGAAUAGUUGAGCGGGAACACACCGCUUUGGUUAAUUUUUGUACUACCCCAGGAUGUAUAGUGGGCAUUUGCAUGAACACAUAUAUUUGACACAUUGUAUCUUGUAUAGUAGGCUCUUCAUGUACGGGAUGCUGAGUAAAUUAAAUUUCUUUCCCAACUGCUCCUGGUACGAAUAUGUGAGCAGUUAUAUACUAUACCUGCAGUAGCCCUGCUGCAGUGGCCUGUAACAAGAAGGUGCUUAAUAUCUUUCCUGAUAAACAUGCUCUCCCUAGGGUUAGUACUAGAGAGAGGUUCAAUUAUCUUAGCAUAGAUCUGUUUAUUGUAUGAAAGGAAUGAUGUCUUGGCUUUCCUUCUCUCCAACUCCCGAGAGCAACGUUAACGCCAACUUUAACAGUUGGCGUUGCCCUUAUCUUUUUGUUCAUAUCGAGAAAAGAUAUCUGUGAAGCCUCCUUACCAGCGACAUGCAUCAAUGAAUCCAAAGUUAUUGAGAUGAACUGAUUAUUGAACUGAUAAUCAAAUCGUCGAAAUUCAAAUCUAACUAAUAUUUAAUUUUUUAUGAACACGCUUGUUGUAAUAUUUAUAUAGAAUUUGAGAAAAUAUUUUUUUUAGAUAAUUUAGUAAAAAUUAGGUUUUUUUUUUUAAUAUAUCUCAGAAACUAGGAGUGAAAAAUAGCUUAACUUAACUUUACUUAAAAGUAAUGUAUCCUUAAAAAAGAAAAUAACUAAAGUAAAAUCACUUUCGUUUCUUAGGGAUUCUUUAAGUAUCCAAAUUGCUCUGAAUUGCCAAAAUGGGCUAUUAUAUAUAAAAAACUUAUAUUUAAUAAUUUAUUAAGAAUUCCACUAAAAUCGUUUAACGGGUAAGCAAGACAUCUUAUUUUUUGUACAUUUUAAAUAUUAUUUUAUGAAGAAAGAAUUUAGCACUAAUUUGCUAGUCUACUGGUAUUUUCUUCGAAACUUUCAAGAACAUCAUAUAUAAAUGUAGCUACAUACUAUACUGUUUUUAGAACCUACCUACAUAUCUUAGCCGAACAAAAAUAGGUAGAUUUUUAUUCAUUUUAUUAAUAUGCUGUUAAUGAUGCAAGUAAAAUUUGUCAAAUAUGUAAACUUCCCUAGCAUUUAGUCUAAGUAAUUAACAAUGUAAAAUUGUAAACAGAUAGAAUAGAAAAAAAUAUUGUAGACGUAUAACGUAAAAGAACUGGAAUAUUUUUUUUGUAU